rnacentral:tRNA from 1 species
GCCGGGGUAGCUCACCGGUAGAGCGCGGCCCUGAAAAGGCCGGCGUAGGCAGUUCAACUCUGCCCCCCGGCACCA